GGGUUGUGAGGUUAAGCGACUAAGCGUACACGGUGGAUGCCCUGGCAGUCAGAGGCGAUGAAGGACGUGCUAAUCUGCGAUAAGCGUCGGUAAGGUGAUAUGAACCGUUAUAACCGGCGAUUUCCGAAUGGGGAAACCCAGUGUGUUUCGACACACUAUCAUUAACUGAAUCCAUAGGUUAAUGAGGCGAACCGGGGGAACUGAAACAUCUAAGUACCCCGAGGAAAAGAAAUCAACCGAGAUUCCCCCAGUAGCGGCGAGCGAACGGGGAGGAGCCCAGAGCCUGAAUCAGUGUGUGUGUUAGUGGAAGCGUCUGGAAAGGCGCGCGAUACAGGGUGACAGCCCCGUACACAAAAAUGCACAUGCUGUGAGCUCGAUGAGUAGGGCGGGACACGUGGUAUCCUGUCUGAAUAUGGGGGGACCAUCCUCCAAGGCUAAAUACUCCUGACUGACCGAUAGUGAACCAGUACCGUGAGGGAAAGGCGAAAAGAACCCCGGCGAGGGGAGUGAAAAAGAACCUGAAACCGUGUACGUACAAGCAGUGGGAGCAUGCUUAGGCGUGUGACUGCGUACCUUUUGUAUAAUGGGUCAGCGACUUAUAUUCUGUAGCAAGGUUAACCGAAUAGGGGAGCCGAAGGGAAACCGAGUCUUAACUGGGCGUUAAGUUGCAGGGUAUAGACCCGAAACCCGGUGAUCUAGCCAUGGGCAGGUUGAAGGUUGGGUAACACUAACUGGAGGACCGAACCGACUAAUGUUGAAAAAUUAGCGGAUGACUUGUGGCUGGGGGUGAAAGGCCAAUCAAACCGGGAGAUAGCUGGUUCUCCCCGAAAGCUAUUUAGGU
rnacentral:rRNA from 1 species